GUCCAUGGCUAUACCUCCCUGAACAUGCCAGAUCUCAUCUGAUCUCAAAAGCUGAUCAGGGUUGGGCCUGAUAAGUACUUGGAUGGGAGAAUUAUAAAGGUAAUCUGUGAUCC
ensembl:rRNA 5S_rRNA 5S ribosomal RNA